rnacentral:rRNA from 1 species
AAUCAACGCUGGCGGCGUGCCUCGGACAUGCAAGUCGAACGCGAAAGUCCCCUUCGGGGGCGAGUAGAGUGGCGCACGGGUGAGUAACACGUAGGUAAUCUACCUUUGGAUGGGGAAUAACAACCGGAAACGGUUGCUAAUACCGCAUAAUGCAGCGGCACCUAAUGGUGACAGUUGUUAAAGCGGGGAUCAAAGACCUCGCGUCUAAAGAGGAGCCUGCGGCGGAUUAGCUAGGGUUAAGGUAACGGCUUACCAAGGCAACGAUCCGUAGCCGGCCUGAGAGGGCGGUCGGCCACACUGACACUGACAUACGGGUCAGAC